rnacentral:rRNA from 1 species
UACGGAGGGUGCAAGCGUUAUCCGGAAUCAUUGGGUUUAAAGGGUCCGCAGGCGGAAAGAUAAGUCAGUGGUGAAAUCUCCCAGCUCAACUGGGAAACUGCCAUUGAUACUGUUUUUCUUGAAUUUGGUCGGAGUGGGCGGAAUGUGUCAUGUAGCGGUGAAAUGCAUAGAUAUGACACAGAACACCGAUAGCGAAGGCAACCUCCUGGGCCUGAAUUGACACUGAAGCACGAAAGCGUGGGGAGCAAACAGG